AUCGAACACUGACAAACACAAGAGUGCUCUGACAGGACAAUAUCCCCCGCUGGCAAAUGGUGCUUUGGUUCAAGUGUUUGCUACAUUCUGAUAACAUUUCAAGG